rnacentral:rRNA from 1 species
GACGAACGCUGGCGGCGUGCUUAACACAUGCAAGUCGAACGGAAAGGCCCUGCUUUUGUUGGGUGCUCGAGUGGCGAACGGGUGAGUAACACGUGAGUAACCUGCCCUUGACUUUGGUAUAACUUCAGGAAACUGGGGCUAAUACCGGAUAGGCGCUCCUGCUGCAUGGUGGGGGUUGGAAAGUUUCGGCGGUUGGGGAUUGACUCGCGGCUUAUCAGCUUGUUGGUGGGGUAGUGGCUUACCAAGGCUUUGACGGGUAGCCGGCCUGAGAGGGUGACAGGACAAAAGGGGACUGAGAUACGGACCAGAAUACUACGGGAGGCAGCAGUGGGGAAUAUUGCAAAAUGGGCGGAAGGGUGAUGCAGCAACGCCGCGUGCGGGAUGACGGCCUUCGGGUUGUAAAACGAUUUAGAAUGUGACGAAGCGUGAGUGACGGUAAUGGGUAAAGAAGCACCGGCUAACUACGUG